UCCCUUGAUGAAACAAAAAAAGUCCAGCUCGAACACGACCACGAGCUUCGCUCGCGAUUCUAUUCCUCUUCCUUCCUCUGCUUCCCGUCCGUGGCCGCGCCAUCGAUUGUACCUUCACGCGCCGGUGGCGCCCCUCUGACGGCCGCGUCUGUUCCUCGUCGCCGGUGCCCCACGGCCCACGGUAACCCCGCGCAUCCCCGCCACCUAGGCUCCCAGUCAGUAGCGCCCAGAUCCAAAAGUGAGGAUUCUGUUCUUGCUGCGGCGAUUGCGGCAAAAUCCGAUAUUUUCAACCCUUUGCCAGUCAGUCUCUUUCAUUCUUCGUUCGUUGCCAACCUCAGCUAGACUCUGCUUAGGGGCCAUCAUCCCGACCUUCAGGAUUCGUCUACGGUCGGUUCAAUCCCCUUCCUCUAGGCAGCCUAUCUAAUAGGUUCAACCCCCUUCAGUAUCCAUCGACCUCCGGUACUUUUUGGACAAUUUCCGAGUUUUUAACAAUGGGGAUAGGUCAUUGUAGCCCACUGUCGAAUGCCAAGAGGAAAUUGCCACCAGGUAGCCCGCAGAGCACGUCUGCCAAGAGAAGGAAACCCAGGCUUCGAAUCAGCAGUCUACCCAAUGAUAUUUUGAGCUCCAUCACAUCUAAACUGUCAUUGAAGGAAGCUGCCAGGACAAGCAUCUUGUCGAGCCAGUGGCGGCGUGUUUGGUUGUGCCGCGCCUACAUUGAUCUCAGUCAUCACACAGUCUUGUCGGAGUCCGACAAGGAACGAUCCUGGACUGGUCCUCGAGGUAUUAGACUCAACAGGCGCAAAUUUAUUAAGAGUGUUGGUGCACUUCUCCAGCAAUACGAGGGUGUAGGGACCGAGGACAUCAGAAUCAGGCAUGAUCUCUGUGAUAGAUACGCGGGUCAUAUCGAUAGAUUGCUCAACUAUGCUAUUGCGUCGAAGGCGAAGGGUCUCAUUCUUGAAUUAUGGGCAGUGAAUUAUGGGCCCACGACAGUGCCAUAUAAUUUCCCUCUUCAGGUUCUUGAUACAAAGAACUCAAACUUGCGCCGUCUGGAGCUUUGGUUUGUUUCUUUAAAUCCGCCUGCUGGUUACAGGGGAUUUCAGAAUCUCACUAAGCUUUGCCUGCGAGAUGUUAGUAUUACCAAUGAAGAUGUUCAACGUUUGCUGUCUGAAGGCAAUCAUCUAGAGUGCCUCCGUAUUACCUACUGUAAGAUGCUUACCAGUUUAAGGAUUCCACAUUGCCUGAAUCGCCUUAAGGUUUUGCUUGUUCUGAGUUGCCCGGUACUUGAAGACAUGACGUUAGAUUGUGGAGUGCCAGCACUCCACUAUAGAGGUUCAUUGAUACCAAUGGAGUUUGCUGCACCUUUGAAGCUAACGAAACUAUCGAUUGAGUUAUUACCUUGCCACGUCUUGAGAUGCUCUCAUUAAGUUGCACACAACUUGAGGUUGAUUCAGUGAGCAGGCUUUCCAAAUUUCGUUCUCUGCAUCAUUUGAUAUUAAACUGGACUAUUUCUGACUCUGCACGCGGGACAACUGAUAUCCUCGACCUUGGUUGUCUCCUAGAGGCUGCCCCUUUCAUGGAAAAACUAGAAUUGCAUAUGGUAAUGGACCAUUUCCUACACAAGCGGUACUGUCAUGAAGACGGCGAGCUGAGGAGUCUCCCUUCACGCCCGCACUCACAUCUCAGUUUGGUGCAUAUAAGCGGAUUCAUCGGCGAGAAAGAUCAACUGGAGCUGGCGCUUCAUAUUCUCCACAAUGCUGCGGUUCUCAAAGCAUUGAAGAUCGAUCCAUGGCCGAGAACAGCUAACCCUGUACGAGCGCGCGUCAAGUCGGAAAACCGUCUUGCCAGUGGCCGGAGUGUUGCAUUGGAAUUUCUUUGCAAAGAUGAUCACCGCAAUGUCGUCAGCGUGCUUGAAGAUGUGGGGGAGUAGUUGGUCACUGCUUUCCAUUUUGCCUGCAUGAAUGUAUUUAUUGUUUAGGGUUGUCUGAGUGAUUUUCUUGAGGAAGCCGCGUUGUUAAGACAUGUUCUGAGCCCGUUGGUGACAAGUUGUGGUAAAUGUGUUAGAUUUUUGCAAAA